rnacentral:lncRNA from 1 species
AGAGUCAAGAGUUGAUGCAGAGUGAGCGGGCAGAGACAGUGAAGUCUGCAGUUAAAAUCCCUGGCCAGGGUCCUGGUCCCAUCCCAGUGGGCUUCCUGCCUGCCAGCCUGGGGGAGUGGCGUGGGCUGACCCCGACCAGGUAAGAGCCACACGUCUCUUCUCCUUUGGGCAUCUGUAGAUUCAGGGUGGUGCAGUGCCCAGAGCUGAUGUGUGCGAGUGUGUGUGCCCGUGUGUGCUGCAGCAUGCAGAGAGGCGUGACAGGAAGACCGGCGGCUGCAGUCUGGAGGUGCCCAACUGUCCUCUGACAGCAUCUCUCCUAGUGUUCUCUCCCAGCCUGUUUUUGCACUUUUCUCUCAUUACCUUCUCUUCUCCCCCACCCCCAUCCAUUUCUUCUUCUGAUAGGCAUUUUAUUUCCAAAUUUCCAGGCUCACUUAGAAUUGAAGUGUAAGGCCAAUGCUUCUGUCGGUGAUGGAUGGCAUUUUGGGGAAGAGAAAAGAGGGAAGGGGGCCACGGGCAAGGAGGCCUGGGCAUCAGACGUAAGCAGGGCUCAGUCAGGAAGCCUGGGCACAGCUCCCGGCCCUGCCAAAGGCUGACUUUCUCGCAGGGCCUGGGGCAGGACUGGCCAUACUGAGUGGACGAACCAAAUCCUUCGGAGAGGACCUUGAUUCUCUUAGCAAGCUGUGGUCCCUCUCUCUCUCAGGCAUCGCUAUCUGAUAGGGAUUUUUUCUUUUAUUUAAUCACCUGGCAUUUGGUCCACACCUUUUUUGUGGUGGGCACCUCUUAGGGGCCAGGGACACAGGAAGGAUCAGACACGGUGCUGCUUGAAAGAAGUCUCUGUGAAGUGGGAGACACACAGGCUUAGAUGUGCACAACUGUGGACAAGUGCUCUGAUAGAAGCAGGUGAUCUGACAGGUGAGGGCUGUGGAGGGAGUGGGGGAAGGCUUCCCUGAGGAGGUGACAUGUGAGCUGAGUGUGGAAGGUCUAGGAGGAGACAGCCAAGUUGGGAUGGGGAUGUCAGUCUGCUCGGGCUGCCAUAACAAAACGCCAUAGACUGGGUGGCUUAAAACACAGGAAAUUAUUUCCACGGUUCUGGAGGCAAAUGUCGGGGGUCACAUGCCAGCUCGGUGGAGUGCUGGUGAGGGCUCCCCUCCUGGCCUGCAGACAGCUGCCUUCUCAUUAUAUCCUCACAUGGUGGUGAGGGUGCACAGGGAGAGAGCUCUCUGGGGUCUCUUUUUGUCAGGAUGCUAAUCCCAUCCUGGGGGCCUCACCGUCAUGACCUCCUCUAACCCUAAUCACCUCCCAAAGGCCCCGCCUCCUAAUACUAUCCCACGGAGGGGUUAGGGCAUCAACAUAAGAAUUUGGAGGGGGCCACAGUUCAGUCCACAGCAGGAUGUGUGUGUGUGGAGUGAAGCAGACUGACCGGGCCUCAACAUCACCUGGGAAUCCUGGAAGGAAACAGGUUCCUGGGCCUUGCUCCAACCUAAGGAACCCGAAUCUGCAUAGCUCACAUGGCGCCGUAUUUCCAACGUUCAGAGCACAUUGGAAAGUUGGGAGGAAGGAUGAGGCUUGUGUUUUCACUCACAAACUCCCUCCAGAAGAUGAUAAUGAAAGUGUCUGACGCAUAAGGAAAUAAAUAAGAUGGUUAUGUGCCCA